AAGGAUCAUUACAAAUCCAACGUCUCUUUACCGAGACCUCGUUGAACUGUUCCGCUUGGAUAGGAGCGCUUGAUGUCUUCACCGUCAUCAUUCGUCUAUCCUUGCACUCUCCUUUAACUAGUGUGACUGUUGCUCAUUUGUAUGUCUCUUGAACAAAAAACAAGAAACAACUUAUAACAAUGGAUCUCUAGGCUCUUGCAUCGAUGAAGAACGCAGCGUAGCCAUGCAUCGAUGUGGAAGUAAAAGUCGUAACAAGGCAUCGAUGAAGAACGCAGCGCAGCCACAUCGAUGUGGAAGUAAAAGUCGUAACAAG
rnacentral:misc_RNA from 1 species